rnacentral:rRNA from 1 species
CUGGCGGCGUGCCUAAUACAUGCAAGUCGAACGGUCUUUCUAUGGAAGCUUGCUUCCACUGAGAAGAUAGUGGCGAACGGGUGAAUAACAACGUGGGUAACCUGCCCAUAAGAGGGGGAUAACAUCCGGAAACGGGUGCUAAUACCGCAUAGUUUUCUUGAUCGCAUGAUCGGGAAAGGAAAGACGGCCUUUGUGCUGUCGCUUAUGGAUGGACCCGCGGCGUAUUAGUUAGUUGGUGAGGUAACGGCUCACCAAGACGAUGAUACGUAGCCGACCUGAGAGGGUGAUCGGCCACAUUGGGACUGAGACACGGCCCAAACUCCUACGGGAGGCAGCAGUAGGGAAUCUUCCGCAACGGACGAAAGUCUGACGGAGCAACGCCGCGUGAGUGAAAGAAGGUUUUCGGAUCGUAAAACUCUGUUGUCAGAGAAGAACAAGUUGGAGAGUAACUGCUCCAGCCUUGACGGUAUCUGACCAGAAAGCCACGGCUAACUACGUGCCAGCCGCCGC